CGCAGCCGCGGUAAUUCCAGCUCCAAUAGCGUAUAUUAAAGUUGUUGCAGUUAAAAAGCUCGUAGUUGAAUUUCGGGGCUAGUAGGCUGGUCAUGCCUCUGGUAUGUACUGGUCUCACUGAUUCCUCCUUCCUGAUGAACCGUAAUGCCAUUAAUUUGGUGUUGCGGGGAAUUUGGACUGUUACUUUGAAAAAUUAGAGUGUUUAAAGCAAGCUAACGCUUGAAUACACUAGCAUGGAAUAAUGAAAUAGGACGUUCGAUCCUAUUUUGUUGGUUUCUAGGAUUGACGUAAUGAUUAAUAGGGAUAGUUGGGGGCAUUAGUAUUCAAUUGUCAGAGGUGAAAUUCUUGGAUUUAUUGAAGACUAACUACUGCGAAAGCAUUUGCCAAGGAUGUUUUCAUUAAUCAAGAACGAAAGUUAGGGGAUCGAAGACGAUCAGAUACCGUCGUAGU
rnacentral:rRNA from 1 species